GCCUGCUAGCCGCAGUAUUUUGCUGUGCUAAGGUAGCAUAAUCAUUAGUCUUUUAAUUGUCGACUGGUAUGAAUGGUGGGACGAGAAACCGACUGUUUUUGAAGUUUAUUUCUAAGUGAAAAAGCUUAGAUGAAUUAAGAGGACGAUCAGACCCUAAGGAGCUUAUUUGUUGGGGCGACAAGUAUUGAUCCCAUUUGCUGGAUUAAAAGACUAAGCUACCCUAGGGAUAACAGCGUAAUUUUUUUAGAGAGUUCUUAUCGAUAAAAGAGUUUGCGACCUCGAUGUUGGAUUAAGAAAUUACUAGGGUGAAGAAGUUCUAGUGGAAAGUCUGUUCGACUUUUAAAUUCUU
rnacentral:rRNA from 1 species